UACGUAGGGUGCAAGCGUUGUCCGGAAUUAUUGGGCGUAAAGAGCUCGUAGGCGGCUACGCACGUCCGUUGUGAAAUCGCCCGGCUCAACUGGGCGGGGUCGGCGGAUACGGCGAAGCUUGAGCAAGCUAGGGGGGCAAUGGAAUUCCCGGUGUAGUGGUGGAAUGCGUAGAUAUCGGGAGGAAUACCAGUGGCGAAAAGCGGCACCCUGGCGUCGUACUGACGCUCAUGUGCGAAAAGCGUGGGGGAGCGAACAGG
rnacentral:rRNA from 1 species